CCCCUAGUAACUGCGAGUGAAGCGGGAAAAGCUCAAAUUUAAAAUCUGGCAGUCUUUGGCUGUCCGAGUUGUAGUCUGGAGAAGUGCUUUCCGCGCUGGACCGUGUACAAGUCUCUUGGAACAGAGCGUCGUAGAGGGUGAGAAUCCCGUCUUUGACACGGACUACCAGUGCUUUGUGAUGCGCUCUCAAAGAGUCGAGUUGUUUGGGAAUGCAGCUCAAAAUGGGUGGUAAAUUCCAUCUAAAGCUAAAUAUUGGCGAGAGACCGAUAGCGAACAAGUACCGUGAGGGAAAGAUGAAAAGCACUUUGGAAAGAGAGUUAAACAGUACGUGAAAUUGCUGAAAGGGAAACGCUUGAAGUCAGUCGCGUUGGCCAGGACUCAGCCUUGCUUUUUUGCUUGGUGCAUUUUCUGGUUGACGGGCCAGCAUCGAUUUUGACUGUUGGAAAAAGGCUGGGGGAAUGUGGCACCUUCGGGUGUGUUAUAGCUCUCAGUCACAUACGGCAGUUGGGAUCGAGGACCGCAGCACGCCUUUAUGGCCGGGGUUCGCCCACGUUCGUGCUUAGGAUGCUGGCGUAAUGGCUUUAAACGACCCGUCUUGAAACACGGACCAAGGAGUCUAACAUGCCUGCGAGUGUUUGGGUGGAAAACCCGAGCGCGUAAUGAAAGUGAAAGUUGAGAUCCCUGUCGUGGGGAGCAUCGACGCCCGGACCUGAACUUCGGUGAUGGCUCUGCGGUAGAGCAUGUAUGUUGGGACCCGAAAGAUGGUGAACUAUGCCUGAAUAGGGUGAAGCCAGAGGAAACUCUGGUGGAGGCUCGUAGCGAUUCUGACGUGCAAAUCGAUCGUCAAAUUUGGGUAUAGGGGCGAAAGACUAAUCGAACCAUC
rnacentral:rRNA from 1 species